rnacentral:rRNA from 1 species
GACGAACGCUGGCGGCGUGCCUAAUACAUGCAAGUUGAGCGCUGAAGGUUGGUACUUGUACCAACUGGAUGAGCAGCGAACGGGUGAGUAACGCGUGGGGAAUCUGCCUUUGAGCGGGGGACAACAUUUGGAAACGAAUGCUAAUACCGCAUAAAAACUUUAAACACAAGUUUUAAGUUUGAAAGAUGCAAUUGCAUCACUCAAAGAUGAUCCCGCGUUGUAUUAGCUAGUUGGUGAGGUAAAGGCUCACCAAGGCGAUGAUACAUAGCCGACCUGAGAGGGUGAUCGGCCACAUUGGGACUGGGACACGGCCCAAACUCCUACGGGAGGCGGCAGUAGGGAAGCUUCGGCAAUGGACGAAAGUCUGACCGAGCAACGCCGCGUGAGUGAAGAAGGUUUUCGGAUCGUAAAACUCUGUUGGUAGAGAAGAACGUUGGUGAGAGUGGAAAGCUCAUCAAGUGACGGUAACUACCCAGAAAGGGACGGCUAACUACGUG